UGAUGCAGCAUGCCGCGUGAGUGAGGAAGGCCUUCGGGUUGUAAAGCUCUUUCAGAGGGGAAGAACGCCAUUUGGUCCAUUACGGAUUGUGUUGGACUUACCCUUCAAAGAAACCCCCGGUUACUCCCGGGCCACCGCCCGCGUAAUUACGAAGGGGGCAACCUUUAUUCGAAUUACUGGGCCUAAAGCCCCCCGCAGCCGGUUGGUUAAUUCGAAGGUAAAAUCCCGGGCUUCACCCCCGAAAUUGCGUCUGAACUUGUUGAUUUAAAUUUAUGUAAGGGAAAUGGAAAUUUCGGAGGAACGGUGAAAAGCCUUAAAAUUGCAAAGAAACCCCAUAGCCAAAGGGGCUUCCCGGACCGUACCCUGACCUUAAGGGCCAAAACCUGGGGAACCAACCAGAUUAAAUACCCCGGGAAUCCCCCCCCGAAAACAAUUCGUAUUACAUUUUGAACUCUUUGACCUCUUCUGACUCACCUCUAACGCUUUAUUGACUCCCCCGGGAAAAUGGUCGCGCAAUAAAAUCUCAGGAGAUUUGAGGG
rnacentral:rRNA from 1 species